AGAGUAUUUAAGCGCUAUGCGCGAAAGUUCGACGGAGGUAAAUUUGUAAAAUCCUCGGUUUCGGUUUUGUAUUGUUCAUUCCUUCGGUCUCCUCACCGAUCUUUCUCCGGCGAAAAUGGCGAACGAGCAACGGUCAUCGAUAGGGCCCUGGUUCCUCGAAGCAAUACCCUUGGUUAUUGUUCUUCUCAUAGCAGCUCACGUCUUCGCUUUGGUGUAUUGGAUUUAUAGGUUAGCGACUCAAAAACAACCUCCCAGGACGAAGACUCACUGAUUACUGUAUGAUUCGUUCCUGAAAGAAACUUUAGGGAAACCCUAAUUUGUUAAUUGUUGUGUGACUGAUGUUGUGGAGGCGGCCAAAAAGAGCCACAUAACAAUGUUUCUCUGUAAGUAUCUGUCAGUGUACUCUCAGAAUCUUUGUUUGGUAUCAUAAGAAUGUGGAGAUGUUUCUUACAAAUCAAUUUUGAUUUGUAUGGUUAUUCAAUUAUUGAAAUUUGAAGGAUCUUGUUUGGUUUUCGUU